rnacentral:rRNA from 1 species
UACGUAGGGUGCAAGCGUUAAUCGGAAUUACUGGGCGUAAAGCGUGCGCAGGCGGUUCGCUAAGACAGAUGUGAAAUCCCCGGGCUUAACCUGGGAACUGCAUUUGUGACUGGCGGGCUAGAGUAUGGCAGAGGGGGGUAGAACGAUAGGUGGAGCGGUGGAAUGCGUAGAUAUCUAUCGGAAUGCCGAAAGUGAAGACAGCCCGCUGGGGCUUUCCUGACGCUGAGGCACGAAAGCGUGGGGAGCAAACGGG